AUGGGCGAAAGCCUGACGGAGCAAUACCGCGUGAGGGAGGAAGGCUCUUGGGUCGUAAACCUCUUUUCUCAGGGAAGAAAAAAAUGACGGUACCUGAGGAAUAAGCAUCGGCUAACUCCGUGCCAGCAGCCGCGGUAAUACGGAGGAUGCAAGCGUUAUCCGGAAUGAUUGGGCGUAAAGGGUCCGCAGGUUGCAAUGUAAGUCUGCUGUUAAAGAGUGAGGCUCAACCUCAUAAGAGCGGUGGAAACUACAUAGCUAGAGUACGUUCGGGGCAGAGGGAAUUCCUGGUGUAGCGGUGAAAUGCGUAGAUAUCAGGAAGAACACCGGUGGCGAAAGCGCUCUGCU
rnacentral:rRNA from 1 species